CCGGUGGCAGUGGAGAUUCAAGGAAAUCCCUAGCGAGUAAACCAAGAAUGAUCUGGACUGCUGUAAGCUCUGAAUUAACAUUUUAUCCUUCCAUUAUUUCUUCCCUUUCCUUGUGAAAGAGUUGACAUUCUAUUUACAAAUUUAGAAUUCAAUGGGUUUUGGAAUACCUGCAUUGGGAAGCUGAUAGCUGCUCAGAGAUUCAAGGAAAUUCCUGGUAACAACCGACAGGAUCUCUGACCAAGCCAAUCUUUGGCCCUCAAGUGGUAAUAUAAUUGCGAGGAGAAAGGUCAAAAUGAACUCACUGCUGGCAAUCCUGCGGGUUGAAGCAUGAGAUUUCCGUCCGUCCAGAACCAAUCAAGAAAGUGUUGACCAUAGCCAAGUCAGUGGGGGCUUAGCUUUGUUGUGAGGGUAAGUACGAACUGACGAGUGACCUCGAGGGAAUUGAAGCAUCACGCUGUACGUUAAGAUAAUCUGAUCGGUGAUUGUUGACUUUUGAAAUAUGUGCUGCAUAACACGGUUUCAUUCUUUAGUUGGUGCAUCUGGUAGUACUUGAGAUUGCUAGAGGAAAUCGUUCAGAACGGUGAUCCGUAGGCUUAAUUCUUCUGACUUUUUCAUCUACACGUAUGCCCCAUGCAUGCGUAUUCAAAGGCUGCUGCUAUCCUUGGAAAUUCAACUUGCACAGAGAAAGGCACCCCCCGAUCUGCUCUGAAAACGACAACUAAGGGCGAUCCGAUUAUUUGUGAUCUUUUCUUUUUCUAUAAUGUAGUGAGGAAAUGGUGCCGACGCUUCUUUUCGCAAACGUUUCAGAGUAUCACAGCGAAUUUACAUGUGCCUGCUAAACGAAUUAAAUCCUUGCGAAAAAAGGCUAAACAAACUGAAUGAAAUGGUCAAAUUACUGCAUUUCACGCAACGGAAUAGCAAUUGCAUGAUGAGAGAAGUAGUGAUAUUUUCAUUUGGCAGAAUGUGCAGCUUCGAUUUCGUUAUGCUCAUCGGCGCUCCUGUUUUUGCUUCGACGGGGAGGAAAAACGUAAGCCAUACUUGUUGUGGCGCCGCCGCGCCGGUGGUGGCUCUCGGACGCGGCGUUUGUUUCUUCAUGCAUGGCCCAUGGCCAUGGGCAUGCCCAAUACCAACGUUCAGCGGGUCCUCUGCCUCCCUUGUCC
rnacentral:lncRNA from 1 species